UGUCUCCUCUUCCACUAGUUAUGUAAUGGAGAAUAAUUUGAACAACACAAAGAAAUGAUCAAUUUAAAUCUUAAUUAGUUAGAUCCACGGCCACCGAAAACGGAUUACAAGGCCUUCUUCACCAUGAAUACAGAAUUUCCACUUGAUUUAUUACCAAAACAUAAUUUCGACGCCGGUGAUAUACAGUCACAAAAAGAAAACCCUUGCCUACAGAACCGACGCCGUUGACUAAUGUGGAAAGGAGUUGUUGGUGCAGACAUUGAGGAAUAUUGUGAAGAAGAUGUCCAUGAUAGAGUAAAUGAAGAGGAAUAAGAGGGAGAUGAAGGUAAUACAGAUUUUUUAGGAUUAUACUUCAUGACUAGAGCAUGAAAAAUCUCGGAUGUUGAAUUAUUUUUAGUGGGUUUUUUGUUAUUAUUAUUGGUUUUGUAAUAAGGAGGAGGAUAAGAGGAGGCAAUAAAGAAGUUUGAGAAAAUGUAUGUUUGGGAGUACCAGGUUGUAACUCCCAAGAGAAAGGAACAGAGCAUGGAACAUCAUUAUAGUAAACUCUGAAUGGAGGAAUAGAAGCAGCAGCUUUAGAAUUUUCCUUUGAAAGAAGCUUUGUCAAGAACUUGUUGCUGUCUUCGUGUUUGAUUCUUAAUGAUUUCUCAAUGCUGCUACUAAUCACCAUCUUGAUUAAUUCCUGACUAUGGAGGAAUUGGAGAACAAAUAAAUAAAGCUUCUAAACUUUAAGGUUAAACUUGACACUUGGGUGAAUAAAAAUAUAUAAAAAAAUUAAGAAAUGAUACUCCGUCAUACUUUGGGUAUAAACAUAUCUUUUCGUCAAUGAAAAGAUACAGUAUCCUUAUUACUAACGGGGGACACGUGUCACGUCGUAUUAUUGAGCCUUUUUUAUUUAUUUUAACCUCAAUUAAUUAAAACAAAUCCUAAUUAAAUCCAUACCCGGACCUAAUUUACCCGACCCGUUCAAUUAGAAAAGCUUCAUCAGAUCUCCAAACACAAUACAGACCGUCUCUCUCAUUCUUGCUUUCAUUUAAUCGGUUCUUCUAUAUCUAUGUAUAUUUCUUCGUCGUUUUCUUAUUCGAAAAAACAAAAAGAAUUUUCUCGUCCAUCGUUAAUCUUUUGCUUUCUGAUUAAUAUUCCUCGUGAAUGAAUGUAAUUUCUGAUUCAUGAGGUCAGUGAAUCAGAAAUGUAACUAAUUUUGAAUCUUUUGGCAAAUAGUGGCUGCCUAUUGUACAGAAAUGUAACUACUACUGCUAUGGAUUUUGAGAGUUCCUGAAUUUUGUAGGUGGUCUUAAGUUUAGAAAAGAGGACAUUGCAGAGCUUCACUUGAAGAAUAGAAUUACUGUAUCUUGAUUUCAGAUAUCCUCGUUCUUAAUGUUAUGUAUUGCACCUUUCCUCUAUGUGAUUCAAUUUGAUUUUAAGGUCAAACAUCACACUUCAACAUUACAUAUUUCAAAAUUGUGGUGGCUGUUUCUACAGCAAAUGAAAAGAUUUUCCGGAAAAAGAAAGAAAACUGAAAGGCAUAGCCUAUAAAUGUCUACUCCCUCUGUCCAAGCUGCUGAUCUUUCCUGCUAGAUCUGAUGAAGCUUCUCUAAUAGAACGGGUCGGGUCGGGUAAAUUAGGUAUGGGAAUGGAUUUAAUUAGGAUUUGUUUUAAUUAAUUGGGGUUAAAAUAAAUUUAAAAAAAAAGGUCCAACGAAUAUGGACGUGACACGUGUCCCGCCGUUAGUGAUAAGGAUAUAUUUAUACUUUUUCAUUAACGGUAAAAAUAUAUUUAUACCCAAAAUAUGAUGAAAAGUAUAUUUGUAUCAUUUAUUAAAGUUUAGAAGUUUAUUUAUACCUUUUCCGUAUAUAAUAUAAUAUAAUGGAAGGACUCGGUGCAUAUGCAUUUAUAUAUACUACUAUUAUAUAUAAGAUACAAUCAAGGACUUUGGUCGUCCUCACAAAAGUUUCCAACUUAAUUUUAAUCUUUUCAAUUAACUACUUUUAUGUCAUGAUUUUAUCUUUUAUAUUAAUUUAAUUAAUUUCCUAAUCUUAUAAUGUUGUGAUAUUUGGUUGAUAUAGAUGAUAUAUUUUCUUUCUUUCUAUAUAGAUCUUUACACUUAGUGCAUGUGUCAUAGUACGAAAAGCUAUUAUUAAGUUCUUUCUUGUAAUUUCAAUUAUUUAAUUAACUAUUUUAUGAAAAUAACAAUUGGGAGUAGGGCAAGGAAAAUUAGGGAGGAGAUUACAAAGCAAAAAAUCAAAUAUUUACCAACAAAGUGGAGUUUAGGUAGUUAAACAGUUGAACCAUUCGAAUCCCCAUAUUGUUUAACUAAUCGAUUAAUCAUUUUUAAAUUCUUUCAUUAUAAUGUUUUGUUUCUCAUAUUUAUAUAUUAUUUAAUCAAGUCAAUUGCAAAAUAUAAAAGUUUAAUAUCCUUUAAUUAUUUUAUUUAUUAAAUUACUUGUAUUUCAUGUUUUAUGAGGUACAAGAUCAAAAAGCUUUAAUUUUUUCCUUUGCUACUCAUAAGACCAAAAGCUUUAAUUUUACUAUCUUUUGUUAAUUUUUGUAAUCAUAAUUAAUUAUUUAAUUAAUUUUUAUAAAUGAAAUUAGCCUUAACAAAAUUAAUAUUUUAUAUGAACUUUUGUUUAACGUAGUUUAAGAGAAAAAAAAAAUAUUUUGACCGUGAAGAACUUUUUUCUUUGCAUGGAUAAUUCAUCACUUUUUUUUCUUCUUUCUUAGUAUUUAUCUUUGAUACAAGCAUGAAGAGUAUAAAAGAGUACAAGGCAUUGUCAAAGGUUCAAGCUUCGGAAUUGACAAGUGUUUGGAGCCUUUUUAAAGCCUUGUCAAGUUGAAGAAGGAGAAGGAAACCAUUACACUCAAAGGCAUCUCAUUUGAAGGACAAGAUGGACUUUGCAUACUAUAAUUUGACACUCAAGAGGCGCCCCAUUUUAGGGCUAUUGUUGUCUUUUAAGACUCCCUUUUUAUACUCCAAAGGAGUACUAUUCAUUAAGGGUAUUUUAGUUUUUGCUUGUAAUAAGUAUAAAUAGACAAAUAGGCUUCUAUUUUUCUUAGUUUUGACAUAAUGAAUUGAGUGACUUUUUAGAUUAUAAUUGUAGUCUUAGCUUGUAGUCUUCUCCUUCUCCUCAAGAGAGAGAAAUCGAAACUUUAAGUAACUAUGCAAGUGAGGUGGUUCUUCACUUAUGUUGACCAUUUGGCG
rnacentral:lncRNA from 1 species